AGGCGGAUUAUCAAGUCUCUUGUGAAAUCUAAUGGCUUAACCAUUAAACUGCUUGGGAAACUGAUAGUCUAGAGUGAGGGAGAGGCAGAUGGAAUUGGUGGUGUAGGGGUAAAAUCCGUAGAUAUCACCAAGAAUACCCAUUGCGAAGGCGAUCUGCUGGAACUCAACUGACGCUAAGGCGCGAAAGCGUGGGGAGCAAACAGGAUUAGAUACCCUGGUAGUCCACGCCCUAAACGAUGUACACUAGUUGUUGGGGUGCUAGUCAUCUCAGUAAUGCAGCUAACGCAUUAAGUGUACCGCCUGGGGAGUACGGUCGCAAGAUUAAAACUCAAAGGAAUAGACGGGGACCCGCACAAGCGGUGGAGCAUGUGGUUUAAUUCGAAGAUACGCGAAGAACCUUACCUGGGCUUGAUAUCCUAAGAACCUUUUAGAGAUAAGAGGGUGCUAGCUUGCUAGAACUUAGAGACAGGUGCUGCACGGCUGUCGUCAGCUCGUGUCGUGAGAUGUUGGGUUAAGUCCCGCAACGAGCGCAACCCACGUAUUUAGUUGCUAACGGUUCGGCCGAGCACUCUAAAUAGACUGCCUUCGUAAGGAGGAGGAAGGUGUGGACGACGUCAAGUCAUCAUGGCCCUUAUGCCCAGGGCGACACACGUGCUACAAUGGCAUAUACAAUGAGACGCAAUACCGCGAGGUGGAGCAAAUCUAUAAAAUAUGUCCCAGUUCGGAUUGUUCUCUGCAACUCGAGAGCAUGAAGCCGGAAUCGCUAGUAAUCGUAGAUCAGCCAUGCUACGGUGAAUACGUUCCCGGGUCUUG
rnacentral:rRNA from 1 species